AUAUCGCGGAUUUCCUCGCGCGCGCUCUCGAUAUCGAGCUUGGAGAGCUGCGACAGGUCGAUCGUGUCGAUCA
rnacentral:sRNA from 1 species